AUUGAACGCUGGCGGCAGGCCUAAUACAUGCAAGUCGAACGGUAGGAGGAAAAGCCUUCCUGUCUUAUGUAAGCGGCGGAGGGGUGUGUAAAACGUGUGGAACAUUGCUCGAAGACUGGGAUAACUUACGGGAACCGGUGCCAAUACCCGCAUAAAUUUUCAACCCCAUAGUGCAGAACCUUAAGACGGCUUUGCAGUCACUUAGAGAUGGAGCCGGUCUGCAUUAGCUAGUUGGUAAGGUAACGGCUUACCAAGGCAACGAUUCAUAGCCGACCUGAGAGGAUGAUCGGCCACACUGGAACUGAGACACGGUCCAGACUCCUACGGGAGGCAGCAGUAGGGAAUCUUGCACAAUGGGCGAAAGCCUGACGGAGCAACGCCGCGUGAGUGAUGAAGGUCUUCGGAUCGUAAAACACUGUUAGUAGGGAAGAAGGUAUUAAUGUGAAACUGUGCACAUCUUGACGGUACCCACACAGGAAGCCACGGCUAACUCCGUG
rnacentral:rRNA from 1 species